rfam:Streptomyces pluripotens strain MTSC 137 chromosome, complete genome.
GUCAUCGUGAGGUGGGGUCUGGAGGAAGCCCGAGGCGAGACCUGGGUACCGAGGAACACGAACCGUGUAUGAGGCGUACUGGUCGGGUGAGUCUUCUGGCAGCCCAGUGUGAGAGGAGGGA